rnacentral:tRNA from 1 species
CUCUGUUUAGACAGGUCCAGGGAGAAGCAGCUCACCUCCUCUGUUUCGUGCCCAAUACAUGACUUGGUAUAUAGAAGCAUCGUGCCCAAUACAUGACUUGGUUCAUAGAAGCAUCGUGCCCAAUACAUGACUUGGUUGAUAGAAGCAUCGUGCCCAAUACAUGACUUGGUUGAUAGAAGCAUCGUGCCCAAUACAUGACUGGUUCAUAGAAGCAUCGUGCCCAAUACAUGACUUGGUUCAAAGAAGCAUCGUGCCCAAUACAUGACUUGGUUGAUAGAAGCAUCGUGCCCAAUACAUGACUUGGUUGAUAGAAGCAUCGUGCCCAAUACAUGACUUGGUUGAUAGAAGCAUCGUGCCCAAUACAUGACUGGUUCAUAGAAGCAUCGUGCCCAAUACAUGACUUGGUUCAAAGAAGCAUCGUGCCCAAUACAUGACUGGUUCAUAGAAGCAUCGUGCCCAAUACAUGACUGGUUCAUAGAAGCAUCGUGCCCAAUACAUGACUUGGUUCAAAGAAGCAUCGUGCCCAAUACAUGACUUGGUUCAUAGAAGCAUCGUGCCCAAUACAUGACUUGGUUGAUAGAAGCAUCUUGCCCAAUACAUGACUUGGUUGAUAGAAGCAUCGUGCCCAAUACAUGACUGGUUCAUAGAAGUAUCGUGCCCAAUACAUGACUUGGUUCAAAGAAGCAUCGUGCCCAAUACAUGACUGGUUCAUAGAAGCAUCGUGCCCAAUACAUGACAGGUUCAUAGAAGCAUCGUGCCCAAUACAAGACUUAGUUCAAAGAUGCAUCGUGCCCAAAACAUGACUUGGUUCAUAGAAGCAUCGUGCCCAAUACAUGACUUGGUUCAUAGAAACAUCGUGCCCAAUACAUGACUUGGUUCAUAGAAGCAUCGUGCCCAAUACAUGACUUGGUUCAUAGAAACAUCGUGCCCAAAACAUGACUUGGUUCAUAGAAACAUCGUGCCCAAUACAUGACUUGGUUGAUAGAAGCAUCGUGCCCAAUACAUGACUUGGUUGAUAGAAGCAUCGUGCCCAAUACAUGACUUGGUUGAUAGAAGCAUCGUGCCCAAUACAUGACUUGGCUCAUUCUAUGUAGUGUUCUAGUGCUGUGAUAUUGGAACACAGCCACUGUGAGUCAUCAGGCCUAUUGUUCGUUCUCAGUCACAGUACACAUUAAUUAGUAGUUAGUGAGUAAUCCCUUGCAGCUCAGUUGGUCCCGUGUGGCUCAGUUGGUCGAGCAUGGUGCUUGCAACGCCAGGGUUGUAGGUUUGAUUCCCACGGGGGACCAGUAUGAAAAUGUAUGCACUCACUACUGUAAGUUGCUCUGGAUAAGAGUAUCUGCUAAAUGACAAAUGUAAUCCACAAUGAAUAUCCCUCUAGAUCAGGGAUGGGCAACUUUGAUGAGGGUGGGGGCCACAUAAAGUCUGAACUCAUCAUGAGGUACUGCAGCUCACAGUUAUGCAAACCCACAUCCAUCCAGCGUUAAUUUGGUGCAAUUCUACACAAUUUGCCAUGGGGUGUAGAGAAAAUGCUGCAAUUCUACAGAUUUUGCCAAAGGGUGGAGAGAAAUGUUUGCAGUUUUUCAUACGAUAUCUGAGUGAGACUGACUAACUAAAUCAAUGUGGGCCGCCCGGCCGUAAUACGACCAUGAUAAAAAGUUUAGAUAACUAGCCGUUAAACUCAUUAAACAAUCUACAAAAUGUUAGCUGACUUGGGCUAAUUGACUGACUGUCAGUGACAUAAGACAUACACUGGUGAUGCAACAACCACAUUACUAAAUAGCCAAUUGUGUAUCCUACUAUUCGGACUCUCAACAGGAAGUCGAGACCCCAAAGGAGUUCACAAAAAACUAGAUUAUAAAAUAACAGUUGCCCAUCCCUGAUCUAGUGCCGUCGAUGGUUUCAAUAGGCCCCUUGUUGUCGAAUAUAAAUUACAUUUAAGAGGAGAGAAUCAAAGGAAACUGUAGUUACAUUAAUCACAUUAUAUUAGUUCUGUUAGAAUACAACAACACACUAACAAACUGAAAGACAUCAAGGUAAUGAGCUUUGUCUAAUGUUCUAACAGUACAAAUAAUCAAUUUGAAAGUCUCUGAAAGAAAAUAGGAUAGGUAGAGUGUCAAGGAAUGGAAAUAGGAUAGGUAGAGUGUAAAGGAAAGAAGAUAGGAUAGGUAAAGUGUAAAGGAAAGAAGAUAGGAUAGGUAAAGUGUAAAGGAAUGAAAAUAGGAUAGGUAGAGUGUCAAGGAAAGAAGAUAGGAUAGGUAGAGUGUCAAGGAAAGAAGAUAGGAUAGGUAGAGUGUCAAGGAAGGUGUCCAAAAUGGCCUGGUCGUCACUCUCUAUAGAAUAUAAUCAGUUUUCUUCUUCUCAUUACGAAUAUAAUCCAUUUAAAUGAAGUCUAACCCUAGACGAGUGGUUCAGGGCACCUUGUACCAACUCCUACACACUGACCCCAGAGGGGAUAUCUGGGUCUAUAAGGGAAGACCUGAGCCAUGCAACCCAGAGGGGAUAUCUGGGUCUAUAAGGGAAGACCUGAGCCAGGCAACCCAGAGGGGAUAUCUGGGUCUAUAAGGGAAGAACUGAGCCAGACAACCCCUUCCCAGUUCACUCCUAGCAUGCUACUGUUCCAUAAUGCUAUCUACUUCCAAUUUUCAGGAACCCACAUCUCCAGAAGGGAUGUCUUGGUCUCUGGGGAAGGUCUGAACCAGUCAACCCAGAGGGGAUGUCUAGGUCUCUGGAGAAGGUCUGAACCAGUCAACCCAGAAGGGAUGUCUUGGUCUCUGGGGAAGGUCUGAACCAGUCAACCCAGAGGGGAUGUCUAGGUCUCUGGAGAAGGUCUGAACCAGUCAACCCAGAGGGGAUGUCUAGGUCUCUGGAGAAGGUCUGAACCAGUCAACCCAGAAGGGAUGUCUAGGUCUCUGGGGAAGGUCUGAGCCAGUCAACCCAGAGGGGAUGUCUAGGUGUCUGGGGAAGGUCUGAACCAGUCAACUCAGAGGGGAUGUCUAGGUGUCUGGGGAAGGUCUGAACCAGUCAACUCAGAGGGGAUGUCUAGGUGUCUGGGGAAGGUCUGAACCAGUCAACCCAGAGGGGAUGUCUAGGUGUCUGGGGAAGGUCUGAACCAGUCAACUCAGAGGGGAUGUCUAGGUGUCUGGGGAAGGUCUGAACCAGUCAACUCAGAGGGGAUGUCUAGGUGUCUGGGGAAGGUCUGAACCAGUCAACCCAGAGGGGAUGUCUAGGUCUCUGGAGAAGGUCUGAACCAGUCAACCCAGAGGGGAUGUCUAGGUCUCUGGAGAAGGUCUGAGCCAGGCGUUCCACCCUAUUCUAUAUGGAGGUAGAGUCCCUAUCCUCCAGCCCAGGAAUGUGUCCCAAAUGGAAGUCUAUUCCCAAUUUAGUGCACUACAUUUGACCAGACAUUUGGGAUGACACAAGCCUCAGAGGCCAUGAAAUCCACCUGGUCAGGGAUCUGCCCUCCAGUCUCCAUGCAAUAAUUCUGGAGCUGCUGGGUUUAUAAAUGAGGCCACAUAUAUACCACCAUCAACCCCUACUCUAGCACCAUCCUGGCUGGUGCUGCAAAAUUACAGUGACUUUACCAAAAUCCAUAUUCCCUCCUGAUUCUGGGAAUCUUCCAAUCAGGUUUCAUGGGAAAGUUAUCAGAAUAUUGCAAACCUAAUCCAGGCAGUGCUGCUUGGUGUUGUCAAUCGAAUUAUGCUUGCAUUCCAAAUAUGGUCUCCACCUGAGAAUAAGGAGAAACCUUUUUUGUUCUAGGUAGAACCAUUUUUGGUUCCAUGUAGAACCCGUUUGAGUUCCAUGUAGAACUUCAAAGGGUUCUCCUAUGGGGACAGCCGAAGAACCCUUUGAGGUUCUACAUAGCUCCUUUUUUUCUAAGCGUGUACACAUACUCUGGCAGCCGUUUCACUGCUUUCUGACAUCCCAUAUGUCAGUGACAGCCACAGAUUAGGACUUUCAGAAAGUUACAUAAAAACAAAAAUGCACGACAAACGCAGCAGUACCCUCAUCCCUUCAAGGGUGACCACAUCCCAAAUUACAACCUGUUCUUUAUUUAGUGCACUACUUUUGACCAGAGCGCUAUGGGCUAUGUAAGGAAUGGGUACACUACAUUGGGAAGAGGGUGCUACUUGGGACACAGCCAGUGAAGAUCAGCAGCAACCCAGACUACUCUUGUCAACACUGUCAGUGUGAUUCCAAUGCUCUGUCUGUCUGUCUGUCUGUCUGUCUGUCUGUCUGUCUGUCUGUCUGUCUGUCUGUCUGUCUGUCUGGUUCCAACACUCUGUCUGUCUGUCUGUCUGUCUGUCUGUCUGUCUGUCUGUCUGUCUGUCUGUCUGUCUGUCUGUCUGUCUGUCUGUCUGUCUGUCUGUCUGUCUGUCUGUCUGGUUCCAACACUCUGUCUGUCUGUCUGUCUGUCUGUCUGUCUGUCUGUCUGUCUGUCUGUCUGUCUGUCUGUCUGUCUGUCUGUCUGUCUGUCUGUCUGUCUGUCUGUCUG